UUAAAUUGAAGAGUUUGAUCAUGGCUCAGAUUGAACGCUGGCGGCAGGCCUAACACAUGCAAGUCGAACGGUAACAGGAAGCAGCUUGCUGCUUUGCUGACGAGUGGCGGACGGGUGAGUAAUGUCUGGGAAACUGCCUGAUGGAGGGGGAUAACUACUGGAAACGGUGGCUAAUACCGCAUAACGUCGCAAGACCAAAGAGGGGGACCUUCGGGCCGCUUGCCAUCAGAUGUGCCCAGAUGGGAUUAGCUUGUUGGUGAGGUAACGGCUCACCAAGGCGACGAUCCCUAGCUGGGCUGAGAGGAUGACCAGCCACACUGGAACUGAGACACGGUCCAGACUCCUACGGGAG
rnacentral:rRNA from 1 species